rnacentral:ncRNA from 1 species
GCAAAAGCUAUGAAAGGAAGAAGUAGGUCAGUUUUACGUCAUUCAGAGAGCAUCCGGUUGGUGAGAGGCUGCAGACGCGCUGAUACGAAUACAUCCUGGAGCCGCUGCCUGAAUUGUUAGUAGGGUUUGACGGGUACGCCCGAUACAGCGUGUGAGUGUGUUUGCACUUGUUGAGGGGAAUUCUGCGAGGAAUUUCCAAGUCAGAGGUGGUACCGCAAUUUCUGCCCUCUGU